UUAUCCGGAAUUAUUGGGUGUAAAGGGUGCGUAGACGGGAAGAUAAGUUAGUUGUGAAAUCCCUCGGCUUAACUGAGGAACUGCAACUAAAACUGUUUUUCUUGAGUGCAGGAGAGGUAAGUGGAAUUCCUAGUGUAGCGGUGAAAUGCGUAGAUAUUAGGAGGAACACCAGUGGCGAAGGCGACUUACUGGACUGUAACUGACGUUGAGGCACGAAAGUGUGGGGAGCAAACAGGAUUAGAUACCCUGGUAGUCCACACCGUAAACGAUGGAUACUAGGUGUAGGAGAUAUUAAGUCUUCUGUGCCGUCGCAAACGCAAUAAGUAUCCCACCUGGGGAGUACGGCCGCAAGGUUGAAACUCAAAGGAAUUGACGGGGGCCCGCACAAGCAGUGGAGUAUGUGGUUUAAUUC
rnacentral:rRNA from 1 species